AUUGAACGCUGGCGGCAGGCCUAACACAUGCAAGUCGAACGGUAACAGGAAGCAUCUUGCUGCUUUGCUGACGAGUGGCGGACGGGUGAGUAAUGUCUGUGAAACUGCCCGAUGGAGGGGGAUAACUACUGGAAACGGUAGCUACUACCGCAUAACGUCGCAAGACCAAAGAGGGGGACCUUAGGGCCUCUUGCCAUCGGAUGUGCCCAGAUGGGAUUAGCUAGUAGGUGGGGUAACGGCUCACCUAGGCGACGAUCCCUAGCUGGUCUGAGAGGAUGACCAGCCACACUGGAACUGAGACACGGUCCAGACUCCUACGGGAGGCAGCAGUGGGGAAUAUUGCACAAUGGGCGCAAGCCUGAUGCAGCCAUGCCGCGUGUAUGAAGAAGGCCUUCGGGUUGUAAAGUACUUUCAGCGGGGAGGAAGGGAGUAAAGUUAAUACCUUUGCUCAUUGACGUUACCCGCAGAAGAAGCACCGGCUAACUCCGUG
rnacentral:rRNA from 1 species